CGUGUAGGUGGUCACCCCAGUCGGAUGUGAAAGCCCAGGGCUCAACCCUGGACGUGCAUACGAUACUAGGUGGCUGGAGUCUCGGAGAGGAUAGCGGAAUUCCCGGUGUAGAGGUGAAAUUCGUAGAUAUCGGGAGGAACACCAGUGGCGAAGGCGGCUAUCUGGACGAGUACUGACACUGAGACGCGAAAGCAUGGGGAGCAAACA
rnacentral:rRNA from 1 species